AGCUGGUUCUCCCCGAAAGCUAUUUAGGUAGCGCCUCGGACGAAUACUACUGGGGGUAGAGCACUGUUUGGGCUAGGGGGUCAUCCCGACUUACCAACCCCAUGCAAACUCCGAAUACCAGUAAGUACUAUCCGGGAGACACACGGCGGGUGCUAACGUCCGUCGUGAAGAGGGAAACAACCCAGACCGCCGGCUAAGGUCCCAAAGUUCUGGUUAAGUGGGAAACGAUGUGGGAAGGCUCAGACAGCUAGGAUG
rnacentral:rRNA from 1 species